AGCGAACGCUGGCGGCAGGCUUAACACAUGCCAGUCGAGCGGGCAUCUUCGGAUGUCAGCGGCAGACGGGUGAGUAACACGUGGGAACGUACCCUUCGGUUCGGAACAACUCUGGGAAACUGGAGCUAAUACCGGAUACGCCCUUAUGGGGGAAGGUUUACUGCCGAAGGAUCGGCCCGCGUCUGAUUAGCUAGUUGGUGGGGUAACGGCCUACCAAGGCGACGAUCAGUAGCUGGUCUGAGAGGAUGAUCAGCCACACUGGGACUGAGACACGGCCCAGACUCCUACGGGAGGCAGCAGUGGGGAAUAUUGGACAAUGGGCGCAAGCCUGAUCCAGCCAUGCCGCGUGAGUGAUGAAGGCCUUAGGGUUGUAAAGCUCUUUUGUCCGGGACGAUAAUGACGGUACCGGAAGAAUAAGCCCCGGCUAACUUCGUG
rnacentral:rRNA from 1 species